rnacentral:rRNA from 1 species
GGUUCAUUCAAAUUUCUGCCUAUCAACUUUCGAUGGUAAGGUAUUGGCUUACCAUGGUUUCAACGGGUAACGGGGAAUUAGGGUUCGAUUCCGGAGAGGGAGCCUGAGAAACGGCUACCACAUCCAAGGAAGGCAGCAGGCGCGCAAAUUACCCAAUCCCGACCGGGGAGGUAGUGACAAUAAAUACUGAUACAGGGCUCUUUUGGGUCUUGUAAUUGGAAUGAGUACAAUUUAAACCUCUUAACGAGGAACAAUUGGAGGGCAAGUCUGGUGCCAGCAGCCGCGGUAAUUCCAGCUCCAAUAGCGUAUAUUAAAGUUGUUGCAGUUAAAAAGCUCGUAGUUG